UUGCUCAAUUGGUAGCAUAUAAACUAAAAUUGGAAAUAUACAGAGAAUAUUAGUAUGGCCCCUCGGUAAAGGUCAAUGAACACAUUUGUAAAGUAUUUGAUUUAUUU
ensembl:snRNA U6 U6 spliceosomal RNA